GGAGAGUUGCGGCCAGCAAUCGAAGGAAAAGCUAAUGCAGAUAAAUUGAAUGGUGCGGAUAUAAUUACGAAAAUUCUAGCAUUUGCCGCAAUCCUGCUUUUUAUGGGCAAUCUUCAUUAAGGAUCUUGCAAAAACGAAAACGAAAAAGUAACAGAAACCACCCGCUUACUGCCUGAUUCAGCGAAUCUUUCAAGUAACAGCCAACUCACGUUUUCCCCGGAUAUAAAUAUUUGACGCUACACUAUACAUUGAGUGCUUUCUCCAGUUACCGUUCAUUGUUUUCUGAUGCUGAAAA